UCUGGAGACUGGCCCCCAAACUUGAGGCUCUGAGGCUGGCACUGUACCUCCUUCUCCUGGGACCCUCCAGUGCUGCUCUGCCCACGUGCACAGAGGAGGAGUACCCUGUGGGUGCCCAGUGCUGUCCCAAGUGCAGCCCAGGGUCCCGUGUGCAGCGUGGCUGUUUCGCGGGUGCCCCCUG